GAUGAACGCUGGCGGUCUGCUUAACACAUGCAAGUCGAACGGAAUCCUUCGGCAUUUAGUGGCGGACGGGUGAGUAACGCGUGAGAAUCUGCCUUCAGGUUCGGGACAACAGCUGGAAACGGCUGCUAAUACCGGAUGUGCCGAGAGGUGAAAGCUUUAGUGCCUGAAGAUGAGCUCGCGUCUGAUUAGCUAGUAGGAGUGGUAAUGGCACCCCUAGGCGACGAUCAGUAGCUGGUCUGAGAGGAUGAUCAGCCACACUGGGACUGAGACACGGCCCAGACUCCAACGGGAGGCAGCAGUGGGGAAUUUUCCGCAAUGGGCGCAAGCCUGACGGGGCAAGACCGCGUGAGGGAAGAAGGUCUGUGGAUUGUAAACCUCUUUUGAUGGGGAAGAAGACAGUGACGGUACCCAUCGAAUCAGCCUCGGCUAACUCCGUGCCAGCCGCCGCGGUAA
rnacentral:rRNA from 1 species